UGGGGAAUAUUGGACAAUGGGCGAAAGCCUGAUCCAGCAAUGCCGCGUGAGUGAUGAAGGCCUUAGGGUUGUAAAGCUCUUUUACCCGGGAUGAUAAUGACAGUACCGGGAGAAUAAGCUCCGGCUAACUCCGUGCCAGCAGCCGCGGUAAUACGGAGGGAGCUAGCGUUAUUCGGAAUUACUGGGCGUAAAGCGCACGUAGGCGGCUUUGUAAGUUAGAGGUGAAAGCCUGGAGCUCAACUCCAGAAUUGCCUUUAAGACUGCAUCGCUUGAAUCCAGGAGAGGUGAGUGGAAUUCCGAGUGUAGAGGUGAAAUUCGUAGAUAUUCGGAAGAACACCAGUGGCGAAGGCGGCUCACUGGACUGGUAUUGACGCUGAGGCGCGAAAGCGUGGGGAGCAAACAGGAUUAGAUACCCUGGUAGUCCACGCCGUAAACGAUGAUAACUAGCUGUCGGGGCUCUUAGAGCUUCGGUGGCGCAGCUAACGC
rnacentral:rRNA from 1 species